rnacentral:misc_RNA from 1 species
ACACUAAAGAAAACUAGGUGAUUGUUCAUAAGAAUACGAAUCUACAUUCACAUAGGGUAUCCAGACCGAAAAAUACAUACAACUACUGUCAAACCACUUGAAAGCAAAGAUGAUAGGUCAAAUUUUUAAGAUAACAAGCAGUUAUCACUUAGGACUUUCUAGUUCUACCAGCCAGAGAGAAUCUGGUAACAAGAAGGAAUUGGUACUUGGAACAUUCUGAUCACCUUGAAAGACUAAUAUGACAAAUCUAACAUAAGCUACUAACAGAACCAUAAACUCGCCUCCAACUGCAUUUGAUCUACUUUUUCUGAGGAUCAUUGAGAAGUUUGAUAAGUACCCUACAAAAGUUAUGAAACAGCAUCUCUCUCAGUGAGUUGGAUCUGGAUUGAAGUUCACAGUUUCCCUCCAGAUGAGCUCCUUGA